AUCUAGUCAGAUCUGUGUGAAUCAAAUAGGUAACAUGUUAAACUGAUUCAUUAGAGGAGAGAAUUCAAAGAUGUAGUGACCAUCAUUCCUAAACAAAUAACAAAAUAAAGGGUCAAGGAGAGAACGAGCAGUGGCGGUGUAGCUGGAGGCUCGCUGGCCACUACCUUCGGUGAGGCAGCGGGAGCGGCGAAAAAAGGAAAAUGGUGAAAGGGGAAGCGUUGGCUGGUGUGUUGUCGCCGGCCGUUUGGUGUUCAACUCCAAUAGUGCUAGUAAUAGAUAGAGGAGGAUGGAAAUUGGUGGUAGUGUGGUACUCGCCGACCAUUCGGUGGUUAAAUCCGGUGGUCGGUGGUAAGGGUAGAGAGAAAAGAAAGUUUGAUUUUGGGAGAGAGAGAAAAAAUUAGAUUGUGAAAUGUGGGUGUAUAUUUUAUUAUUUGUGUGUGGUUUUAGGUAACUGAUUUUGAGUAUAUGUGUGUGUAUUUGUGGGUAGUCCAUCAGAGCACUGGUGGUGGAGAGGCGGCAGUAAGAGCAGCCAUGGAAGUUGAAUAGUGGAAGAGAGAGGAAAAGAUGUGUAUGAAUGAAAAGAGAAAAAAAUUAGAUUUUGUAUAUGUAUUUUGUUUAUGUGAAGAAAUACACCCCACCCACUUAUAUUUAUAAUAAAAAUAAGUAUCUUCUAUUAUCCAAAAAAUAAAAGAAUGUCCCCUAUUUUUAUUAGCACACCUUUUGUCCUUAGGAUAUUGAUCAAAAAAUUUUUAUCCUUUUGACCAACGGAUAAGGUUAUUAUCCAAAGUGUAGUAUCAUUGAAUUGUUAUUGUCAGAUAUGACAAGUCAUUAUGUGUAGUCAUUGUCAGAUGUGACAAGAUAUUAUUGUGUGAUCAUUGACGGAUGUGACAAGUCAUUAUGUGUAGUCAUUGUCAGAUGUGACAAGAUAUUAUUGUGUGGUCAUUGACGGAUGUGACAGACAUUAAAUUAUUAUAUUGUGUAAAAAUAAUUGAUCCGACUUAGCAUUUGCGGACUAUAAAAAAUGUACAAAAUGCAGGUAUUAAUUUGUGAUUAUGAAAAAAUGUAAAGAAUGUUGAAAAUAUUAAAAAAUAUAAUUAAUUUGAAAAUGUAAUUAAAAUGUGAUGUCAUGUCAUGUAUGUGUGCGGAUGAUUCUGAAAGUGUUAAAAUGAUAAUGAAUUGAUAAAAAAAGUCUAACAUACAGAUAAUUAUUAAUAAAUUAUGAUAAUUAAAAAAUAUGACAAAAUUCUAAAGUGAGGAUGAUUAAUAAUUGUAAAAAAUAUGUGAAAAUUGUGUUCUGUGCCCUUUAACGAUCAGGAUGCCUAAAGACAUUAAUUUUGAGUACGGAGAACAAAAAUUGAGUGUUAACAGUUGCCCCUUUAUAUUUGAGGACGAUGUAGAAGUCUUCACAUGACAAUGUUGACGUGUAGCCAAUUUUGCUCGAUAAAAAAAUAAUUUUGAUGAAAAUUCGACCGAACUCUAAUUGAGAGUUGCCUACAUACCUCAAGUUGCAUAAGGAACAGGUCAGGUGUAGUUCAAAAGAAUAGGGGAAUUUCCUCUUGCUUUGUUAUAAAAGGCAAAUGAUCAUUCGAAAUGAUUAUAAAGAAGAGGAUUGUUUGAGAACGGAAGUGCUUACAUAUUCUCGAUGCUCCUUCUGAAAUUGCCCCAGUAUCGAGCUGUGAGAUGCUGGGGAUUCAAGAUUAUGUACUUGCUGGGGAGAAAGAAUGAUUAGAUGAUUGUGAUGACCAAACUCUGCAUAGAUCGUUCUACAUAUCUCGAGUGUCGCGAGAAUCAAGUCAAUGUAGUUCGAAAUGAGAAAAUAGGGAAAAAAAAUUUAGGCGAUGGUCAAAAUUUGCCCCAUUGUAUAAUUUAUGGAUAGCAUUUGGCUUUUUGAAUGAAAAUUGAAAAAAUGUUUUGUUGUUUUGAAUUGUAUUUUUGAUUGAAAAGAUGCAUGAUGUCUUCAAUUGUCUACGGAGACUUAAGGAUGAAUGACGCCUCCGAUUGUUUAUGGAAACUUAUGUGAUGUGUGAAAGAUAUCUUCGAUUGUUAACAAUGACUUGAUGCAUGACAUCUCCAAUUGUCGAUGGAGACUGAUAUUGAUUGUCGUCUUCGAUUGUCUAUGGAGACUGAUGUUGAAUGAUGAUGUCUUCAAUUGUCUACGAAGACUAAUGACAUCUCCAAUUAUCUAUGGAGACUGGUGUGGAUUGUCGUCUUUGAUUGUCUAUGGAGACUGAUAUGAUGAAUGAUGUUGUCUUCGAUUGUAUACUAAGACUUGAUGCAUGACUUCUCCAAUUGUCUAUAUAGGCUGGUGUGGAUUGUCGUCUCCGAUUGUCUAUGGAAACUAAUGUUGAAUAAUGAUGUCUUCGAUUGUAUGGGAAUACUUGAUGACAUUUCCAAUUAUCUCUGGAGACUGAUGUCAUUAACUAGUAAAGUGAUUGAAUUCUAUGGUCUCUCGAUUAGUAGAACAGCUGGAAGGUAGUAGUCUCUCGACUGUCGUGGCUAUGAAAAUGUAAGAGCCUCUCGACUGGCGGGGAUAUUGAAAGUUAAUAUCCUAUCAACUAGCGGGGCUAAGAAAUGUAUUAUCUCUCGACUUGUGGAGCAUUAGAAAGGUAAUAGCCUCUCGAAUAGAGGAGCUAUGAAAAUGUAAAAGCCUCUCGACUGGCGGGGCUUUGAAAGGUAAUAGCCUCUCAACUGGCGGAGCUUUGAAACGUAAUAGCCUCUUGACUGGCGAGGCUAUGAAAAUGUAAAAGCCUCUCGGUUGGCAGGGCUUUGAAAGGUAAUAGCCUCUCGACUGGCGAGGCUAUGAAAAAAAAGCUAUCGACUGAUGGAGUUACUGAAAGGUAAUAUUCUCUUGACCAAGAUCUUACCUUUCUCAAUAAAUUCUUGAAUCUUGUACCUCAAUCCUGAACAUUCCUCAGUAUCAUGUCCUUGGAUAUAUAAAUUAUAUGCACACCUUUUGAACAAGUCAAAAUUUGAUGGUGGGUACUUAGGGAUCAAACCUUUUCUUGGUUUCAAAAUUCCUUGAGCAAAAAACUUUGGAAUAUGCUAAUCAAAGGUUUAGUUAAAGGGGUAAAAGUAUGAGAUUUUAGUUUCUUUGGUUGAUGAGAAUUAGAUAUCACUAGAUAAGUAUGUUGUUGGGGAUCACGCUGGUUAAAAUUUUGAUAUUGAAAAGCUUGUGGGUUAUAUGGGUCAAAAACAGCAUAAGUAGGUUUGGUAUUUGGACAUUGUGGUUCUUGAGAUGGAAGGGUUGAGAUAUCUUCUUCUAUUUCUUCUUAUGGUAAGGGUUUUUGUGCUUGAAGGGUAGCUUGUAUUGCAAAAACAUCAAUAACCUUUCCUAUUCAAAUGGGAUAUUUUAAUCUCUUCCUAAUUAAAAUCAGCUCGUCGAACCCUUGGACACAUGAGCAACAUAACUUUUGGUAGUAGAUACCAUCUAGAAACCUUAUGAAAUCUUGAACCAACUCUUUCUUGGCAUAGGAGGACGUAUCUUAGAAACUUCCAAUCUCCAUCGUGUCAUAUAAUCCUUAAAAGAUUCAUGAGUCAUUCUCCUUAUUUAUAACAAGUCCAGCAUUGCUGGAUUGGCCUUGAUAUUAAACUUAUAUUGGCACACAAAGUCUUGAGCCAUGCUCUCCCACUAUAUCAAAGUAUUGUGUGACAUACUAAGUAAUUGUUAUUCCUGAUAGGAUUUGAAUGAACAAUCUCAUCAAGAGAGCUUCAUUGUCUCUUAUGCCAACUAAUGUGCUACAUUAGUCCUUCAGGUGCGAGAUUGGGUCUCCAUGCCCAUCAAACACAUUGAAUUCUUGAAUUUUAUAUCCUAGAGGCAAAUCAAUCGUUGGAUGCAGGCACAACUUCUUAUAUCUCAAAUAAUAAAUGCCCUUGGGGAGUAGACACACAUCCAACCUCUUUUCCAAGUCAAGAAACAUUUAUGUUACCAUGUUUCGCAAAGUACCAAGGAAAUAACUAAGGAGAUGUGAGUAAGAAGGUAUCUUAUGCUGGGGAAGAAGAAAUUUGUUAGAAGAAGAAUCAAGAUGGUUAGGCAUAUUUGUCAAAUUGCAGACCUUUAGCUGAUUCGAUAUUCAAAUGUAAGACAACCUUUAAACAAAAUAAACAAGCUAACGAAAGUUACCACAUAGCACAUAUAAUUUUAACACAUAAUAAAUAUAAAAACAAAAGGCAUUCUAGAAUGAAGACUAGAACUUAAUAAGUGAUCUAGGUGUAAAGAUUUGAGCUCCUAACGCAUAAAAUAUGAUAGUAAUAGAACAUGAUGUCAUUUUACAAUUGUGAUUACAAAGAAGAUAAGAAAGAUAGGAAAUGAACAAGGUCAACUUUCAUUGAACAUCAGAUUUGUUGAUCAUACAUGACAUUGUUAUUAUCUAACUCCAUGUAAAAAAAUAACGAAAUAGGGAAAAGGAAGAUUUUAUUAUGAUGAGACCAAACUCAACAAAUAAGCACCUAUGUAUCUCUCAUACAGGGGAAUCAGGUCGACCGUAGUUCACAUUACAUAAGCAAGGAAAACAAAAAAGGAAAUUGAAAAUUGUAAAACUUGAAUGAAUUUCAAAUGUUUGGGAGUCUGGAGUAGAGAAUCAAUAUGAUAUCUUCUUCACUAUUGUUAACCAGUGCAAGUCAAUCUUAGGAAAUCAAUCUGCAUUAGAAUUUGACCCCAUCACAUUUAUCACCUGGGUAUCAAUCAUAUUUUGGAUCAUGCUCUUUAAGGAAAAACAUGCCUUAGUAGGAUACCCUUUCAUCCCAGAAUGGUAGGCAUAAAUUUGGUCAGGGCAAUACCGCCUAGACUUAGUGUCAGCCGGUACAACAGCAAUGGGUGUGAUGUAGCCCAUAUUCUUGAGUCCUUCAUACAACUGUUGUACGGUUUCACCUAGAAGAGUGUACUAUUUUGGUGGAUCUUUCUGAAGCUUAUGUUGAGGUUUGGUGGAUAAUUUUGAUUGUUGAUUUUUUGGUGAGUUUUGGAAAUACAUUGGAAGGUAGUUUGAUGUUGGAACAACAAAUGAAGGUGAGUACCAAACAGUUUGUGGAGGAUGUUUUGUGAAGGACUGGGGAUAAUAGGCUUAGACAUAUUGGAAUGAUUUUCUGGAGUUGGGUACCAUAUCAAUUGAGGUUGGGGUAUGCUUACUUCAGGCUUUAGAGGUUUUGAUAUCUCAUCGAUGGUUGUCUUUCCCCUAUUCAAAUUGGUCUCAAUUUUGAGCUUCCUCUUUAUCUUAUUAUUGAACCUCCUAAGAAAAUUAGUUGUUAAAUCGUCCCAAGAGAUCCACUUGCUAGUAUCAUUUCAGCAUACCACAUCAAUGUUGGACCCUUAAAUGAACUAACAAAGAGUUUCGUCUUAAGGUUAUCACUUUGCCCUAUAACCGAUAGCUCGUUAAGGUACUCCUUCAAAUUGGAAUGUGGGUUUCCAGACCCAUCAUAUAAUGGAAAGUUCAAGUCCUCAAUUUUAUCCUUGUCUCCUUCCUUAGCUUUGGGUGACUUAUUCAUCUCAGGCUGUUGAGAUGACCCUGCCUUAUGGUUAAGAAUUUGUCCUCCUAUUUCCUUCUCCUUGACCAUAGUUGUCGACCCAUUGAGUACUUUCAAUAGUGCAACUGAAUACCAACUUUAAGACACUCGUCGAUAUAGAAGAUGACAUAGUAUAGGAGGGAGCUAUGAAGUUAGUUUCAAAUAAUGACUCUGGAAAAUGUAGUGGCAUCUCAACUAAACCUCGGAGAUAAGUCAUUAUUCCCCUAAUUCUCUCUAUUCUUCUUUCCAUCCAUAUGAUACUCGAAAUAACUUUGUUUUGAUGCAGCCUCGAACUUUCAUGCCCAGCUUUGCUAUUGACAAGAUUGAUAAACAUUGCUUGACUAGCCAUUUCUGAUGCUUAACUUUAGUCAACCUUAGAAGACAGGACUUACGAUUAUAAACAAAGAGUACACACCAGAGUCUAGAGUGAAUAUUCUACUCAUUAGAAAAUAAUGAGUUAUACUUAUCCGAAGUGAAUAGAAGUUAUAAGAGCUCUAUGUAACUUAGAGGUUGUGAAAUUUAGAGUACGACAUGAGUAUGAUGAUAUUAAUGUCCAAGAAUCAUGGUAGGACAAUAGUAUAUAAAUGUUAGAAGCAUUAGGAAGAGGAUAUCCUAACAUGAUAAAUUGCACUAACAGAUUAUGAAUGAGGCUGAAACUCUUUAUCAAAGCAAGAGUUGAGCAUAGGGAUGAUUAAUAUACUAAUGGAUGAGUUAGGCUGAUAGAUUGAAGGGAAGCUUUUGAAUAGGCCCUAAGAGUGAAUUGUAAGGCCCUAACAUGACAAGAAUAUUAAGAGUAAAGAGUUCUAAGGUGAGGAACACUAAAAGUAAGGAGUGACUAAGACAAGAGCGAAAACAAAAGAUAGGUAAGAUAUCAAAACAUACGUAGAAAUGAAACAUAUAACAAAUAAUAUUAUGCGUCCUUAUGGGGUAUGAACCCCUUUAGACUUUGAAUGAGACUAACAUUCAACGUACCAAGGGUUCCAAGGCAUCCUAGGUUGAAUGGGAUGCAUAUUCCUUAGUAAAAGAAAUAUGUAGCCAGGAUCUAAAAAACAAGAGUGGGUUUAUGACAUGGUUCCCUCGAGUAGACAACUCGAGAGUGGGAAAGCUUGUGACUGUCGAUGCACUGCUGAUCGACCGAUCCACAAGGCAUUUUCCAGUGGGUAUUUUAGAAAAUAACAUCCGUACAACCACACAAUCUUUCGUAAAAGAAAAAAGAGAUUUCAACUGGAGGAAAGUAUUAACGGAAUACCAGUUAUAUAAAGCAGUAACGCAUAGCACAUAGAAAAAAGAACAUGCUAAGCAAUAUACACAUAAAUAAACAUGAUAACACAUAGGCAACAAAAAAGGAAAAAGGGAAAGGGAUAGACAUGGAGACAUAUGAAAAACACAUAAAAAGAGAAAAGGAGAAAGGACAAAUAAAUCAUGAUAUAAAUGAAUAAUAAAAGUAUAACAUGUAGAAAAUAAAUCAUGAUAUAAAUGAACAAUAAAAGUAGGACAUGUAGAAAAUAAAUCAUGAUCUCAAAAACAAACAUUAUACACAAACAUCAAAACAAAUAGAGAGAAUCCCACAUAAAGCACAAAUUCAUAAUGGUAAGAACCUAAGUAUUUUCAGCAAAGUUGUCAUUCUGUCGCGCCCCAUUUUUCUUGUGAAAACCAAAAUUAGACAUGACUACUCUUUUUGGGAUUAUUUAAAGAGUGUGAUGAGUCGCCACCUAACGUAUUAGGGUGCGUUAGGGCAUUGGUCUAGGCUAACUACGAACCUAUUUUUGUAAUUUAGUCUUAGUUCAUCAAAAAUUUGGGUAAGGGUUCAAAUUACCUCGAAAGGAAGGUGUUAGGCAUCUUUCGAGGUCCACAAAGGUGGUUCCCAGCCAAAUUCGUACUUUACAUGGGGAUUCUAUGUGAUCAAAUAAAAGUCAUUAUUUCAUUAAUAACUUAAUAUUAACUAAGUGAUAAAGUAAUUAAUGAACAAACAUGUUAUUUGGUUAUUCCUAUUUGAUAAUUACCUAAGAGGUAAACAACACAAGAAUUAAUAAAGGAAUAAUAAAAGCGAUAAUGACACAAAUUAUAGCAGAUGGGACUGAUUAAAUAAACCAACUACCCCAAAAUAGAUAAGCAGAUAAAAAUAAAAGAAUAAAAUCAAAAAGUCGAACCAAGGAAAUAUUUUUGAUUUCAUUCGGAUCAGAACCCCAACUUGUUUAAUCAUUAUCCGACCCAUUGACCGAAUUCUUAGACAAGUGACAAUGUCAUAAGUCGUGUAAUAUAUGUUGGAUAUCAUCACUUUCGAAUGACUACCCUCCCUCACCUAGGCUGGUUGUCAAACUUAAAAGCGUUCUAAAAAGAAAGGAUAAAACUAAUGCCUCUAGAAUGCCUAUCAUCCCACUUAUCGCCCAAGAGGCAUUGGGCUUUGCUAAUAUAGAUAACCAAAGCUAUGUUUGCUAGUUUGACCCAAAGCGCGUUAAACAUGUUGGACAACAAGUAGCACAUAAUUAUCUCAAAUGAGCCUCUUGAUUAAUUAAGAGUUAGUUAAUGUGACUAGCAUGCAAGAGAAGCAAUUAUUUAUUUUUUGAUUAAAUCUAUAGACAUGAUAUCUAAGUGUCACGUAAUUAUUAUCGACGAAGGAUAAUUGUAAAUCAUUUUUAAAACAAUGUUGUAAAUUUAUUAAGAAUAAAAAUGGGUAAGUCAAAGUAAAGUAAAUGUGUUGGGAAGUGAUACCGGUCAAUUAAUAAGCCAAAUAUGUUGUCAAUUAAUGAAAAAUACUGGAAAGUAUGCUAGGCAACAUGUUCACUUGAUGAAACUAAAUAACAUGUAGGAAUUAAAUUAGUAAAAACACUGCUGAAAAUUCAUUUCAACAUACAGAAGAUUCAUUUUUGUAUCUUUAAUAUCCUGAAAAUCAAUUUGAUGAACUGAAAAUUAACUCUAUUGUGUUGAAAGUUAAUUUUUUUUAAGUGUUGGAAGAGUAGAUUAAUAUGCUGAAAUGAUGUAAAAGGCUGAGCAUUAUUUUAUUUUUUUGAUAAAAAUAACAAUUUUGUAUGCUGGAAAUCAGUUUUAUAAGUGAAAAAUUAACUAAAACUGCUGAAUAUUACUUUUAAAUGCUGCUGAAAAAUGUUUUAAAUGUUGGAAAGUGACUUAAUAGGUUGAAACUAUAUUUUAAAUGCUGAAAAUUUUAUCAAUAUGCUGAAAAUAAAUAGAAACAUGCAGAAAAACAAAUAUAAAUAUUGAAAAUUAAUUUGACAUGUUAUAGGUUAAAUUAAUAUGCCCAAAAUAAUUUUUUUUUCAUGUCAAAAGUCUACUAACGGCCUUAAAGACAUGAUUUCUAAGUGGUAAAACAAGUUUAUAUUAAUCCUAUGAAUUUGCCUAAGUGAUUUGCGUAAGCAAACAAAAGCACAUAAAUACAUAAACCUAAGUUAUGUUUGCCUAUGUGAUUCAUAGAGCACAUAAAUCUCCGUCCCCAAGCAGUCCCUAAUUUAUUAUUAUUAGGGUAGAGUUGUACAAUAAUUACUACAGACCAAUAAUAAAUGAAAGAAAAAACACUAAGAAGAGCUAGAUUGCAUAGCCCUCAGCGACUCUCAAGUCCAUGGCAAAUCUGUCUCAUCUAACCAUUAGUCUUUAAUCUAUGAACACAAAAAAAAGAACCAAAAUACACUUUGAAUCCGAAAUAUACCUUUGGCAAUGCAUAACCAAACCCUUGGCUCUAUCGAGAUCCUAAGGAUCUCUGGAAUCCCAGGCAGGCUCACACCGAAGGAGUUAUGUGAUGCGCAAAGAUUAUUUCAGAUUCAUAAAUAAAUAUUCUAGUGGGGAACAACAUUUAACAGCAAGAGAAAGUAUGUCAUAUUGACAAAAGCAAAUAGCAUGAGCAUCCUAGUAAGUCACGAAAUAAAUGCACAAAAAUGAAUAAAAGGCUCAUGUCAUCAAACUCUUCAAAUGUUUAAAGUAAGUAAAUCGAAGUGGGAUCAUAGUCAUGUAGAAUAACAUAAAAAAAAAAUAAUGCAUCGUUCGAGAGAACUAACCGAUUAACAACACAAUAACAAAAGAAAAGUGAACUUUCAAAAGUAGAUAAACAGUCGUACGAUCAAACAAGAACCAGCAAUCCCAAAGUAGAAGCAGGAAGCAAAAUUUAACCCAAAAGUAUAGUGUGGAAGAGUAUAGAAGUUAGUGAAAAUUUUCUGUAUAGAGAGUAGGAGAGCAUGAUAAGAGAUGUCCUGAAUACAAAUGAGGGGUGGCCGUUAUAUAGUGAAGGGACCACAAAAAUAAAAGAAAUAAGAAUAUUUGAUCAUUCAAACAAGGAGAUUAUUUUUCUACAUUAAGGAGGUAAAUCUAUUAACUUCACCGAUCAUGCUAUGGUUGCAACAAAUAAACAAAUAAGAAUCUAUCUAAAUCUUAAUAUUGAAAUCUUCCAUAAACAAAAUAAGGAAAAAAAAAUCUUUCCUACUUAUUAAAGAAGUCAAGAGGUGGGUAAAAGAUAUUAGUAUCAAUCAAUUAUAAUAUCAUCUACAUUUACCAUAAUUAAUACGUAAAUGAAUAUCUGUCACACUAAAUAAGGUCAAAGAGAAAUGAGAAAAUCAAUUAGUGAAAUAGUUCAUCAAAAAUCAAGGAAAAAUCGAAUUAGACACAAAAUCAAGGUAAAUGAGUGACAUCAAUAGGCAAAAUGUACCCAUAUUAAGUUUGCUACAUAUAACCUCAACAAAAAAAUCACGCAAUAUGUCACACAUAUUACAUGUAUGGAAUUAUCUUAGAUAGAGAGAUGAAACUUCCACAAACUAAUAUGCAGCACUAAACAAGUUAAGGGUAAAAUUGGGGCUUUCACAAUUGGGUAGUGUAAAAAUGUAAAUAUGCAUAGAAUUAAGUCAACCUAUCUCAGGAAUAUCACAAAUUUAAUAUCUAAAAAUCAUUGAAUAGGUAGAAGAAGAUGACAUUAUGAAAAUUACAUUACAGAAACAAACUUGACACGGAUUCAUAGAAUCUGUCAUGUAUUUCAAUGCUUUUGGACAAAAUAUAGUUGAGCAACAGCGAAGGCAGUGGCGAAAAGAGAGGGAAUAGCAUUGGGGAUCCUUUGGUUAGCUCUCCAGCCGUAUGGCUACUUGUAGCGGAGAUGGUUGGGUUCGUUGAUGGUGGAACCGACGGUGAUGAUGGCAGUGGCGGUGCUUAUGGAUGUUUCCAUUGUUCCUUUGGUGGUGGGCGACUAUGAAGGGAAUACGCAGGCUGGAGAGGCACAAGGAUGAAUGAAGGCGGUGGAGAAGGGUGGUUCGCUAGUGGAGAGAGGAGAAUGAAGAUAAGGGAAAGGGUGGCAAUUUUGGUAUAGAGGUUGCCGACCGACUGGUAAUCACAUCCAGUGGUGGCUGGAUCUUAGAUAGAGAAUGGGAGCCCAGAGAGAGAAACAAGGUGCGGUUAUUUUGGAAUAAUGAAUUAGAGUUUAGUUCUUUAAGUUUAAAAAGGCAAGAGUAUCCUGAGUAGAUCUUAGUCAUUAGAUCAAUUUGAUUUGCGCCUGACAUGGAGGAAUUUAAAAAUAGGUCAUAAACUGGGAUUUAAAUAGGAACUCUAAGUGAUAUCAAUUUUGGCUAAAAUUGAUAUCAAUUGGAAUAAAAAAUUAGCUAGAAAUUAAACACAAGAAAGGAAAAUUGGAUAAAAGUGAUUGUUAGUUUAAUAAAUGUAAUAAAUGAAAUAAGAUGUCCCUAUUAAAAUAAAUUAAUGUUACGUAAAAUAAUUAUAAAAAUUAUCGAUAAUAAUAAUAGACAAUAUAUUUGUAAAAUAUGAGUGUGCACAUGUACGUGAAAAAAUAAUUUAAUAAAUAUUAAUAAAAUUAUGUAAAAUGUCAUACUUGAAUUAAUAAAUUAUAAAAACAAUACUAAAAAAUAAUAAAAUAAUUUGUUCAUUUUUAAAUCGUGAAUGUGGCUUGUUGAAAAUUAUCUAAUACCAAAAUAAUGCACAAAAAAUAUUAAUAUUAAAGGUUAAAUAAUUUUGACAAAAAUAGCUGUCUAAGAGAGCAUCGAGAUGUCAAAAUUGGGUGUCAACACCAAUAAUUAGUAGUGUGUAUAAGAAUUUCUCCAUUUUUUUCUCAGCUAACUGAGGUCAACUUUAGGGUAACUCCUAUAGUUUUGAGUGGUACCUCAGCCAUACCUAAGUAUCGACAAGAUUCAUUCGGCUUGCUUCAAACAAAGAUUUUGAACUGUGCCUAUUCUCAUGUUUCAAGUGGCCUCUCUAGAAAGAGNNNNNNNNNNNNCAUUUUCACAACUAUUUGAGUAUUUUUAUUUUGAAUGUAGAGACGUUCAGAGAUAUACACUCACACUCAGAAAGUUCACUGAAUGCAAUUGCCAUACCAUAGGCUUGGCCUUCAUGUAAGUAUCUACUAAUGUGAGAACACUUAGAGUAGGAUCUUGUAGGACUUGUUAUUGGCUUAUAAUGUAGGCUUGGGAUCGGGUAGGAUGACAUUUGGAAUAAAAGUGACUAGUUCCUUAAUAAGCAUUGCACUGUAUCCGUGCUUUUGACAUUUGUUGCACUUUGACGCUCGAUCUUCUUUGUUUUUCUUCUUUGCCCCUUGUUUUGUGUUUACUUCGACGUCAUUUGAAUCUUGUGCUAGAGAUUUUCUCCGUUUCUUUUCAAUAAAUUUUUUUUUGGAUGAAGAUUCUCCAUCUUUGUUGGAGUUUCCUUUUUUUUCCUUUUUUAUGAGGAUUUUUGCUCCUUCUUCUUUAAAGUCGUCUUUUAUUUUUGUUCUUCUAGGGCUAAUAUGCUAUUUGCCUUUGGGACCUUUGAUCUUGAAUCUUCAUUCACAACUUGUAUAUACUUAGUACGCUCAAGGAGGUGGGCCAAAAGAGGGAUAGUUCAUGUAAGCAAUCAAAAGGUAUAGGCUCAGAUCUGGUUAUCCAAUGAAAAACUUUCAGGCUCAAAGGGGGAAAUGCUAGGAUUAAUGUCAUUUAAUGGGCUUUGGAAGACCCGAUCGGAUCAAAGAAGGCCUACAAUCCUUUAUCAAACCAAGUGUAUCUCAAAAUUUCCCCUCAACAGAUAUUCAGGCCAAGUUCUAGAUCAAUAAUGCCAUGCAAUGAACUAAUCUAAAGCUCACCACAUAAUGCACUUGAAAUAAUGAGGUUGACUUCGUUCUUGUCUUAGAUGAAUGCAAGAGAAUUUUUUUUUCAAAUGUCACUCAGGUUUGACUAAGUGGUACCAAAAGAAUCUAUGGUUUACCAUGAAGUUAGUCUUCUCCAUCAUACCACUUUGUUCUUUCUCAUGCACACUCCUAACUAUGUUGGUACCAACCAAGUCAUAAUUUUAAUAUUUUUAUUUAUUUAUAAAAAAUAAUGUGACAGGAUCCGAACGAGGGUUUGCCUACAUAUCUUGUAAAAAUAAGAAUCAGGUCUGGGUAGUUCAGGAAAAUUUAUAAAUAUAUAUAUACAACAUGUAGGAAUGUACAAGAGUGGUGAUCAUCCUUGAAAGUAAUAUGAAAGACGAUCAGGAAGAUUACUUAUAUCAUCAAAAUUGGUCCGAUCAGAUGAUCGAGAGGAUGGAUGUCAAGCAUAAGGAGUGUUUUGAAAUUACUUCAAUAUGUCAACAAGAUUGAGGAGGUCAGACAUUGAAAAAGUUAUGGCAUUAUUUCACCGCAGUUGGCAGGAUUGUUAUGAAUGAAAGAAUAUUGAACCCUUGUUUUAAGAGUGGAGAUCAAUAUGCCGUAAAUUUAAUGGUUUACCACGUUAGAAAGAAGAAGCUAGGUGUUCUCGAAUAAAAAUUGGGUGAGAAUUUGGAGGUAGACCCGCUAGGCACUAAUGUUAUUGAGAUUUAGAUCUGAGCAGCUAUUUAUUUGCGCUAAGACCUUUAGAGAGCGUCUUUGAACUGUUACAAAAAAAUUGCCCAGUUUGAAUACUGAAGGAAUUAUUCUAAAGCAGUGAAGAGA
rnacentral:lncRNA from 1 species